CUGCAACAUAUAACCACUGCUAUUAAAUAGAAAUGGUUCGAGUUCAACGCGUUUGAGAAACGGGCAUAAGCUUUCGUACUAUAGUCGGCAACUGACGCUAAACUGAUAAAAAUAAAAUGAUCUCAGGAUGUCGCCGCGCCGAGUCGUCGCAUAAACUCAAAAUUGAUCCAUAAUUCUCUUGUUGGCGGCUUCUGUUCGAAACAAAAUAAAACAUAGAAGUCUAUACGUGAAUCCUAGUAGUGUGAUUCGUUUUCUUUUUGGAAAUAAACCGAAAUGUUAGUGCGCUCAGCUAUCUGAAUAGCUGAAAGUGGCGAAUGCCAGUGCGGUGAUAAUCCGUUCGAUUUUGUUUUAUUCAGUUGGUUUUGAGGCCAGUGAUCUAAGAGUGCAGAUCGCUGAUCGUUGUUUGCAGGGGAGCUUCUAUUAUUAGUCCGGUGCCUUGCCGUUCAUUCUUGUUCUGAUUUUUUAAGAAACCGACGACGUCAACAUGAGCGACACAGUAUUUUUACGAAAUACUAUCAGCACAAUAAAAAAUGCACUAUUUUUCUCAUUUCUUAAUAUAGUGUUCUUUCUAAUAAUAAUAUGCAGCACACUCAUAUAUCUUUUAGACAAUUUUGCAAGCUACUUAAAGAAAAAUUCGUAUUUUGCUCUGGUGUAAAUGUUACUUAUAACCUUAUUAUAUCAGGUAAUUUCUUCUUUUCUUGUAUUAAUAGACCUAAUUUAUUAAACCGUGAUCGUAAAUAAGAGUGAUUUUUAUUGAUAACACUAAGAUCUGAAAUUGCUUUGAGCCAACUGAGUUUCUAUGGGUCGAAAUAGUAUGGUUAGUUCGUAUAAAAAGAUAAGUGUAUUUUUGGAGUAAAAAUUUGUCAAUGAGAUUUUACUGCUCAAUAUGUUUGUCAAACUGCUUCAGCGCGAUUUUAGUGCCUGUAAGCAACAAGCUGUGAGUAACAAAUUUUUGCAUACUUUGAUUCAAUGGAUUGCACGCAAGUACAUUAUUAUUUAUCAUAGAAUAAACUUACUCAAUUUGCUUCCCAUGUAAGAUUCAACACAUUGCGAUCAUUUUAAGAAAAUUAUCUUGAAAGUCGUUGAUGUGUAUAUGGAAUCAGACUGUAAUUCACUUGCACCUUCACUUAUCACUAAACAGAAUCUAAAUGAAUUUCUUAAGUUCAUAUAUCUCUUAUGUGUAUAGGGAGAUAGAUAUAAUUACAGACAUGUACUUAACUAUGAACUAUUAUUGCUAGUUGUUUUCUCAUCGCGUUACUUCGAGACUUCAUUUAUAUGAGACAAAACCUAACUUAAUAAUUAUAUGUAUGCUUUCUCACAAAAUAGUUGUAUACCACCCAGUGUGUUUUUUUACCAUAGAAAUAAUACGGUUAUUCUUUAGGUGAUUAAUAUUAGUUGAUUAAUAAAUACCACACACGAAUAUCCGAAGCCUGAACUCGCAUCAUUUCGGAAAUAGAGGGCGUUGAAAUAAAAAAAAAUCAGCUUUUCCUUCAUCGAUUUUGAACCACCCAUUUAAUUAAGGCUAUGUAAUUAUAAAGUUAGGAGAAUAUGCUUCAGAAGUCAUUUGGCUUCCGAAUCUUACCUCAAUCCGAUUGAUUCAACAUUGGUUCAAAAAUUUUGAGGGCAAAUCGGGAAGGCAUUCACUUCUGCAAAACGAUGCGAUUUAAGAAAAAAAAUAUAUCCUGAGAUUGUUCUAACCUGUUCUAUCGAUUGUUCAAGAUUAGACCUGAAUCACCUUGUAUAUAAUAAAAUUGAUAAUAUUAAUGCGAAGAUGUUAGCUUUUAAGUGUUGUUUAAUCUCAUAAGGCUUAGGACUCUUAAUAUAUUUAUUUUAUUUAAUAUUUAUUACCAAAUUUUAAAUUAUCGGUCUUUUGUUGCGCAUUUUUAAGAAUUUUAGUUUGCGCCUGUAUGAAAAUCUGUACAAACAUGUAAGACAGUAAAUACGUUGUCACAAA